UUCAUGAAAGCACAUUUUAGGUCCAAUUUAAAUAAAAUAGAUUUUUAUUGGUUAUACGUAAAAUGUUUCCGCCCGGUUUCGAACCAGGGACCUUUCGCGUGUUAGGCGAACAUGAUAAGCAAUACACUACGGAAACUGCUCGUCCAAUUUGUGAAGCUGCAACAUACUUCACUGGCAUAGGCCAAUGCCAACAAUGAAGAAUCAUGAAAUCAUCAUCUUCAUGAGGGCACAUUUUACGUGCACUUUAAAUAAAACAGGAAUUGUUUUGGUUUUACAUAAAAUGUUUCCGCCCGGUUUCGAACCGGGGACCUUUCGCGUGUGAGGCGAACGUGAUAACCACUACACUACGGAAACUGCUUGUCAAACUCGUGAAGUUGCAACACACUUCACUGGUAUAGACCUAUGCCAACAACGAAAAAUCAUGAAAUCAUCAUCUUCAUGAAAGCACAUUUAACGUCCAAUUUAAAUAAAACACGAUUUUUUUUGGUUAUACGUAAAAUGUUUCCACCCGGUUUCAAACCAGGACCCUUUCACGUGUUAGGCGAACAUGAUAACCACUACACUACGGAAACUGCUUGUCAAACUUGUGAAGUUGCAACAUACUUCACUGGCAUAGGCCAAUGCCAACAAUGAAGAAUCAUGAAAUCAUCACGUUCAUGAAGGCACAUUUUGUGUCCUCUUUAAAUAAAAUCCGAAUUAUUUUGGUUUAACGUAAAAUGUUUCUGCCCGGUUUCAAAACGGGGACCUUUCGCGUGUUAGGUAAACGUAAUAACCACUACACUACGGAAACUGCUUGUCAAACUCGUGAAGUUGCAACACACUUCACUGGUAUAGGCCUAUGCCAACAAUGAAGAAUCAUGAAUUCAUUAUCUUCAUGAAAGCACAUUUUAGGUCCAAUUUAAAUAAAAUAGAUUUUUAUUGGUUAUACGUAAAAUGUUUCCGCCCGGUUUCGAACCAGAGACCUUUCGCGUGUAAGGCGAACAUGAUAAGCAAUACACUACGGAAACUGCUUGUCAAACUUGUGAAGCUGCAACAUACUUCACUGGCAUAGGCCAAUGCCAACAAUGAAGAAUCAUGAAAUCAUCAUCUUCAUGAGUGCACAUUUUACGUGCACUUUAAAUAAAACAGGAAUUGUUUUGGUUUUACAUAAAAUGUUUCCACCCGGUUUCGAACCGGGGACCUUUCGCGUGUGAGGCGAACGUGAUAACCACUACACUACGGAAACUGCUUGUCAAACUCGUGAAGUUGCAACACACUUCACUGGUAUAGACCUAUGCCAACAACGAAAAAUCAUGAAAUCAUCAUCUUCAUGAAAGCACAUUUAACGUCCAAUUUAAAUAAAACACGAUUUUUUUUGGUUAUACGUAAAAUGUUUCCACCCGGUUUCAAACCAGGACCCUUUCACGUGUUAGGCGAACAUGAUAACCACUACACUACGGAAACUGCUUGUCAAACUUGUGAAGUUGCAACAUACUUCACUGGCAUAGGCCAAUGCCAACAAUGAAGAAUCAUGAAAUCAUCACGUUCAUGAAGGCACAUUUUGUGUCCUCUUUAAAUAAAAUCCGAAUUAUUUUGGUUUAACGUAAAAUGUUUCUGCCCGGUUUCAAAACGGGGACCUUUCGCGUGUUAGGCGAACGUGAUAACCACUAUACUACGGAAACUGCUUGAAGAACAUGUAACGUAGCAACAUAUUUCACUGAAAUAUUUCGAAACGUCUAGUGUCAAAUCAUUAAAUCAUCAAGUUCAUGAAGGCAUAUUUUACGUCCACUUUAAAUAAAAUACAAAUUGUUUUGGUUUUACAUAGAAUGUUUCCGCCCGGUUUCAAACCAGGAACCUUUCACAUGUUAGGUAAACGUAAUAACCACUACACUACGGAAACUGCUUGUCAAACUCGUGAAGUUGCAACACACUUCACUGGUAUAGGCCUAUGCCAACAAUGAAGAAUCAUGAAUUCAUUAUCUUCAUGAAAGCACAUUUUAGGUCCAAUUGAAAUAAAAUACGAUUUUUAUUGGUUAUACGUAAAAUGUUUCCGCCCGGUUUCGAACCAGGGACCUUUCGCGUGUUAGGCGAACAUGAUAACCAAUACACUACGGAAACUGGUUGUCAAACUUGUGAAGCUGCAACAUACUUCACUGGCAUAGGCCAAUGCCAACAAUCAUCAUCUUCAUGAAAUCAUCAUCUUCAUGAGGGCACAUUUUACGU